rnacentral:lncRNA from 1 species
ACCCAAUGCAUCGCUGCAGCAGUGCCGUGUAAUGGCAGCGGUGCCCCCUCCCGCAGGUGACACGGUGACACCGAGGAGCCGGGCGUUGUCACCCUCACGGCGGCGGCGGCCAGCGCUGGUGGCACGCGGCGGCAGGGGGACGUGGCCCCCGGCACCGCGUCCCCAAGGGACAAAGCCCCCGCGUGGCGAUGUCCCCAAAUGGCGAGGUCCCCAAAUCACGAUGUCCUUCGGUUGCGAUGGCCCCAAAUGGCGAGGUCCCCAAGUGACACUGUCCCCAAAUCACAAUGUCCUUCGGUUGCGAUGUCCCCAAAUCGCAAUGUCCUCAAGUGAUGAUGUCCCCAAAUUGCAAUGUCCUUAAAUGACAAAGUCCCCAAAUGGGAAUGUCCCCAGAUGGUGAUGUCCCCAAGUGCCAAUGUCCCCAAAUCACAACGUCCUUCAGUGACGAUGUGCCCAGAUGGUGAUGUCCCCAAGUGACGAUGUCCCCAAAUCACGAUGUCCUGAAGUGGCAAUGUCCCCAAAUCACAGUGUCCUUUCACAGUGUCCCCAAGUCACGAUGUCCCCAAGUCACAAUGGCCCCGCAUUGCAUUGUCCCUGUGUCACAACAUCCCCAUGUCACAACAUUGUCACGCUGUCCCCAUGUCACGACAUCCCCAUGUCACGAUGUCCCCAUUGCACCAUGUCCCCAAGUCACAAUGUCCCCAAGUUGCAGUGUCCCUGUGUCACAUUGUCCCCAUGUCACGACAUCCCCAUGUCACAAGUCCCCAUGUCACGACAUCUUCAAGUCGCGAUGUCCCCGAGUUGCAGUGUCCCUGUGUCACAUUGUCCCCAUGUCACGACAUCCCCGUGUCACACUGUCCCCAUGUCACGACAUCCCCAAGUCACGACAGCCUCACGUCAUGCCCCACAUCACACUGCCCCACAUCGCUCUGACCGAUAGCACAGGGCCCCACAUCGCUCUGCCCCACAUCAGACUGCCCAUCACAGUGCCCCACAUCGCUCUGCCCCACAUCGCUCUGCCCCACAUCAGACUGCCCAUCA